CCUUGGUUGGCUCAGUUGCUAGAGCGCUCCACUGGAACUUAAGAAGUCCCGGGUUCGAUACCUGAACCAGGCG
rnacentral:tRNA from 1 species